rnacentral:misc_RNA from 1 species
AACCAUUCUCACCUGCGGCUAGACCUGCGGAAGGAUCAUUACCGAGUUUACAACUCCCAAACCCCUGUGAACAUACCACUUGUUGCCUCGGCGGAUCAGCCCGCUCCCGGUAAAACGGGACGGCCCGCCAGAGGACCCCUAAACUCUGUUUCUAUAUGUAACUUCUGAGUAAAACCAUAAAUAAAUCAAAACUUUCAGCAACGGAUCU